rnacentral:rRNA from 1 species
UACGUAGGGUGCAAGCGUUGUCCGGAAUUAUUGGGCGUAAAGAGCUCGUAGGCGGUCUGUCGCGUCUGCUGUGAAAUUUCGGGGCUCAACCCCGGACUUGCAGUGGAUACGGGCAGACUAGAGUGUGGUAGGGGAGACUGGAAUUCCUGGUGUAGCGGUGAAAUGCGCAGAUAUCAGGAGGAACACCGAUGGCGAAGGCAGGUCUCUGGGCCGCUACUGACGCUGAGAAGCGAAAGCAUGGGGAGCGAACAGG